rnacentral:rRNA from 1 species
UCCUUAGAUGUCCUGGGCCGCACGCGCGUUACACUGAUGCAUUCAACGAGCCUAUAACCUUGGCCGAGAGGCCUGGGCAAUCUUGUUAACGUGCAUCGUGAUAGGGAUAGAUUAUUGAAAUUAUUAAUCUUGAACGAGGAAUUCCUAGUAAACGCAGAUCAUCAAUCUGCAUUGAUUACGUCCCUGCCCUUUGUACACACCGCCCGUCGCACCUACCGAUUGGAUGGUCCGGUGAAGCCUCGGGAUUGUGGUUCUUGCCGCUUUAUUGUGGCGUGACCGCGAGAACUUGUCUAAACCUUAUCAUCUAGAGGAAGGUGAAGUCGUAACA